UACGUAGGGGGCAAGCGUUGUCCGGAAUCAUUGGGCGUAAAGAGCGUGUAGGCGGCUUGGUAAGUCCGCUGUGAAAGUCCAGGGCUCAACCCUGGAAUGCCGGUGGAAACUGUCAAGCUUGAGUCCGGAAGAGGCGAGUGGAAUUCCUGGUGUAGCGGUGAGAUGCGCAGAUAUCAGGAGGAACACCAAUGGCGAAGGCAGCUCGCUGGGACGGUACUGACGCUGAGACGCGAAAGCGUGGGGAGCAAACAGG
rnacentral:rRNA from 1 species